GCGACCCCAGGAUGGG
rnacentral:rRNA from 5 species